UACAGAGGGUGCAAGCGUUGUUCGGAAUUACUGGGCGUAAAGCGUGCGUAGUCGGUAUUGAGAGUCGCGGGUGAAAUCCCAGGGCUUAACCCUGGAACUGCCUGCGAGACCUCAGUACUAGAGUGUGAGAGGGGAUAGUGGAAUACCCAGUGUAGCGGUGAAAUGCGUAGAGAUUGGGAAGAACAUCGGUGGCGAAAGCGCUCUACUGGACCUCAUCUGACACUCAGGGACGAAAGCUAGGGGAGCGAAUGGG
rnacentral:rRNA from 1 species